rnacentral:rRNA from 1 species
UACGUAGGGGGCUAGCGUUGUCCGGAUUCACUGGGCGUAAAGCGCACGCAGGCGGCCCAGUAAGUCGGACGUGAAAUCCCACGGCUCAACCGUGGAAUUGCGUUCGAUACUGCUGGGCUAGAGGACGGGAGAGGAAGGUGGAAUUCCCGGUGUAGCGGUGAAAUGCGCAGAUAUCGGGAGGAACGCCGGUGGCGAAGGCGGCUUCCUGGCCCGUUACUGACGCUGAGGCACGAAAGCCAGGGGAGCGAACCGG